AUUGAACGCUGGCGGCAGGCCUAACACAUGCGAGUCGAGCGGAUGAAGGGAGCUUGCUCCUGGAUUCAGCGGCGGACGGGUGUGUAAUGCCUAGGAAUCUGCCUGGUAGUGGGGGAUAACGUCCGGAAACGGGCGCUAAUACCGCAUACGUCCUGAGGGAGAAAGUGGGGGAUCUUCGGACCUCACGCUAUCAGAUGAGCCUAGGUCGGAUUAGCUAGUUGGUGGGGUAAAGGCCUACCAAGGCGACGAUCCGUAACUGGUCUGAGAGGAUGAUCAGUCAGACUGGAAGUGAGACACGGUCCAGACUCCUACGGGAGGCAGCAGUGUGGAUUAUUGGACAACGGGCGAAAGCCUGAUCCAGCCAUGCCGCUUGUUUGAAGAAGGUCUUCGGAUUGUAAAACAAUUUAAGUUGGGAGGAAGGGCAGUAAGUUAAUACCUUGCUGUUUUGACGUUACCAUCAGAAUAAGCACCGGCUAACUUCGUG
rnacentral:rRNA from 1 species